rnacentral:rRNA from 1 species
UACGGAUGAUGCAAUCGUUAUCCGGAAUGAUUGGGCGUAAAGCGUUCGCAGGUGGCUGUUCAAGUCUGCUGUCAAAGACCGGAGCUUAACCCCAGAAAGGCAGUGGAAACUGAACAGCUGGAGUGCAGAUCAGGUAGAGGGAAUUCCCAGUGUAGCGGCGAAAUGCGUAGAGAUUGGGAAGAACACCGGUGGCGAAAGCGAUUUGCUGGACAGCAACUGACACUGAGGGACGAAAGCUAGGGGAGCGAAAGGG